AUGCUCAAAAUUGAUUUUGCUAAAGCUUUUGACCGUCUUGAGUGGAACUUCAUUGUUUCUGCUUUGGCUCGUAAAGGACUGCAUGGUCAUUUCAUAAAUUUGGUUCAUGCCUGCAUCUCCUCACCUACUUUCUCUGUGCUUAUUAAUGGUCAACCCUCUCAAAAAUGUAAAAACUACAGAGGUAUUAGACAGGGCUGCCCCAUGUCUCCUUAUUUAUUUGUUCUAGCUAUCAAUGAGUUAUCCAUUAUGCUGAAUGAGGCUUUGCAGGACAAUCAUUUGUUUGGUAUUUCUCUUGGACCAAAUUGCCCUUCUGUGCAUUCCUUACUGUUUGCAGACGAUCUUCUUGUCUGUGGGCAGGCUACUUGUCAGGAGGCUCAGGUUAUGGCCAACUUGAUUAAUCACUUCUGUAACAUCUCUGGCCAAACUCCUAACUGGAGUAAAUCAGCUAUCUUUUUGAGUUUUCAUGUUCCUCAGUAG
rnacentral:rRNA from 1 species